CACGGAGUUAGCCGAUCCUUAUUCCUCCAGUACAUUCAGCUUCCUACACGUAGAAAGGUUUAUUCCUGGACAAAAGCAGUUUACAACCCAUAGGGCAGUCAUCCUGCACGCGGCAUGGCUGGUUCAGGCUUCCGCCCAUUGACCAAUAUUCCUUACUGCUGCCUCCCGUAGGAGUCUGGUCCGUGUCUCAGUACCAGUGUGGGGGAUUCUCCUCUCAGAGCCCCUAGACAUCGUCGCCUUGGUAAGCCGUUACCCUACCAACUAGCUAAUGUCACGCGAGCCCAUCUCCAUCCUAUAAAUAUUUAAUCAACUGAACAUGCGAACUGUUGAUAUUAUGCGGUGUUAAUCUCUCUUUCGAGAGGCUAUCCCCCUGAUAGAGGUAGGUUGCUCACGCGUUACGCACCCGUGCGCCACUCUCACCGUCUUCGAGCAAGCUCUCCGACGGAUCCCGUCCGACUUCGCAUGUAUUAGGCCUGCCGCUAGCGUUCAUUCC
rnacentral:rRNA from 1 species